CUCAGAAGGACACUGGCGGCGUGCUCCAUACAUGCAAGGAGAACGCGAAGGUCCCCUUCUGGGGGCGAGUAGAGUGGCGCAUUGGCGAGUAACACGUAGGUAAUCUACCUUUGGAUUGGGAAUAACCACCGGAAACCGUGGCUAAUACCGAAUAAUGCUCCGUCACCUAAUGGUGACAGUUGUUAAAUCGGGGGAUCGCUAGACCUCGCGUCUGAAGAGGAGCCUGCUGCAGAUUAGCUAAUUGGUAAGGUAAUGGCUUACCCAGGCGAUGAUCUGUAGCCGGCCUGAGAGGGCUGUCGGCCACACUGACACUGACAUACGGGUCAGACUCCUACGGGAGGCAUCAGU
rnacentral:rRNA from 1 species